AGCUUGCUUCUUUGAUGACGACCGGCGCACGGGUGCGUAACGCGUAUAGAAUCUACCUUAUACUGAGGGAUAGCCUUUGGAAACGAAGAUUAAUACCUCAUAGUAUGUUUUUAUCGCAUGAUAGAUACAUUAAAGGUUACGGUAUAAGAUGACUAUGCGUUCUAUUAGCUAGAUGGUGUGGUAACGGCACACCAUGGCAACGAUAGAUAGGGGCCCUGAGAGGGGGAUCCCCCACACUGGUACUGAGACACGGACCAGACUCCUACGGGAGGCAGCAGUGAGGAAUAUUGGACAAUGGAGGCAACUCUGAUCCAGCCAUGCCGCGUGCAGGAAGACUGCCCUAUGGGUUGUAAACUGCUUUUAUACAGGAAGAAACCUUUUCACGUGUGAGAAGCUGACGGUACUGUAAGAAUAAGGAUCGGCUAACUCCGUGCCAGCAGCCGCGGUAAUACGGAGGAUCCAAGCGUUAUCCGGAAUCAUUGGGUUUAAAGGGUCCGUAGGUGGAUAAUUAAGUCAGGGGUGAAAGUCUGCAGCUCAACUGUAGAAUUGCCUUUGAUACUGGUUAUCUUGAAUUAUUGUGAAGUAGUUAGAAUAUGUAGUGUAGCGGUGAAAUGCAUAGAUAUUACAUAGAAUACCAAUUGCGAAGGCAGAUUACUAACAAUAUAUUGACACUGAUGGACGAAAGCGUGGGGAGCGAACAGGAUUAGAUACCCUGGUAGUCCACGCCGUAAACGAUGGUCACUAGCUGUUCGGAUUUAUCUGAGUGGCUAAGCGAAAGUGAUAAGUGACCCACCUGG
rnacentral:rRNA from 1 species